rnacentral:rRNA from 1 species
AUUGAACGCUGGCGGCAUGCCUUACACAUGCAAGUCGAACGGUAGGGGGGCAACCCCUGAGAGUGGCGAACGGGUGAGUAAUGCAUCGGAACGUGCCCAGUUGUGGGGGAUAACGUAACGAAAGCUACGCUAAUACCGCAUACGACCUGAGGGUGAAAGGGGGGGAUCGCAAGACCUCUCGCAAUUGGAGCGGCCGAUGUCAGAUUAGCUAGUUGGUGGGGUAAAAGCCUACCAAGGCGACGAUCUGUAGCUGGUCUGAGAGGACGACCAGCCACACUGGGACUGAGACACGGCCCAGACUCCUACGGGAGGCAGCAGUGGGGAAUUUUGGACAAUGGACGCAAGUCUGAUCCAGCCAUGCCGCGUGCAGGAAGAAGGCCUUCGGGUUGUAAACUGCUUUUGUCAGGGAAGAAAUCCCUUGGGAUAAUACCUCGGGGGGAUGACGGUACCUGAAGAAUAAGCACCGGCUAACUACGUGCCAGCCGCCGCCGUAAUAC